ACCCUGUUUCAGCUGUGAGCGUGCGGAAGGUGCAGUUUCCAGAAGAGCAGCUGGUUUGUCUCCUGUUGCCUGUGACUGGCUGAAAUUCGGUGCAGUACUGAACCUCGGCCCCAGCUGAGGCAAGGGGUCAGGAAGCCUUCUUCACGGGCAGUAAGUCAUUUCUCUCUGAAGCCACGUAAUCCUAGAAAUCAACAGUCUUGAGGGACUAAGGCAACUUCCCCACACGUCCAGUAACUCUCUGAGGCCCCAAAGAAAAGCCUGCCUGCGUCCAGGAAGAUUCGCGCUGCCGAGGCCUUGGUGGGGGGGACCCACAGACACGAGUCCCAGGGAGUUAAGUGGCAGGCUUCUUUGAAUAAACUUGUCAAUCAA